rnacentral:rRNA from 1 species
GUCGAGCGAACGGACGAGAAGCUUGCUUCUCUGAUGUUAGCGGCGGACGGGUGAGUAACACGUGGAUAACCUACCUAUAAGACUGGAUAACUUCGGGAAACCGGAGCUAAUACCGGAUAAUAUUUUGAACCGCAUGGUUCAAAAGUGAAAGACGGUCUUGCUGUCACUUAUAGAUGGAUCCGCGCUGCAUUAGCUAGUUGGUAAGGUAACGGCUUACCAAGGCAACGAUGCAUAGCCGACCUGAGAGGGUGAUCGGCCACACUGGAACCUGAGACACGGUCCAGACUCCUACGGGAGGCAGCAGUAGGGAAUCUUCCGCAAUGGGCGAAAGCCUGACGGAGCAACGCCGCGUGAGUGAUGAAGGUCUUCGGAUCGUAAAACUCUGUUAUUAGGGAAGAACAUAUGUGUAAGUAACUGUGCACAUCUUGACGGUACCUAAUCAGAAAGCCACGGCUAACUACGUGCCAGCAGCCGCGGUAAUACGUAGGUGGCAAGCGUUAUCCGGAAUUAUUGGGCGUAAAGCGCGCGUAGGCGGUUUUUUAAGUCUGAUGUGAAAGCCCACGGCUCAACCGUGGAGGGUCAUUGGAAACUGGAAAACUUGAGUGCAGAAGAGGAAAGUGGAAUUCCAUGUGUAGCGGUGAAAUGCGCAGAGAUAUGGAGGAACACCAGUGGCGAAGGCGACU